rnacentral:snRNA from 1 species
AGCUUUGCGCAGUGGCAGUAUCGUAGCCAAUGAGGUUUAUCCGAGGCGCGAUUAUUGCUAAUUGAAAAGUUCGAAACUUGAAGGUUCAUACGUAGGGGACUUAUCUGUAAUUUUCCUUGAUGAUGUUGUCAGAUCAGGACACCUAUUUGUUCAAACAAUUGUGAUGUUUAUGUUGAAAGUCUGUAUUGGGA